AUCACUUCUCGGCUUUUUGGCUAAACACAAGUGUAGUAUCUGUUCUUACCAGUUUAAUGUUUUUAUUUAUUUACUUAUUUAAAAAUUUUUUUAGGGGUGCCUGGGUAGCGCAGUCGUUAAGCGUCUGACUUCGGCUCAGGGCGUGAUCCCGGCGUUAUGGGAUCGAGCCCCACAUCGG
rnacentral:snRNA from 1 species